rnacentral:rRNA from 1 species
UGAAUACGAGAUGCUACGGCAUCGAAGCAGUCUAUGUCAUACUUCCAAGAAAAGCUUGCACUGUCAUAAACAAAUAAUGCCUGUACCAUAACCGACACAGGUGGGUAGGUAGAGUAUACUAAGGGGCGCGAGAUAACUCUCUCUAAGGAACUCGGCAAAAUGACUCCGUAACUUCGGGAGAAGGAGUGCCUUAUUUUAUAAGGUUGCAAUAACAAGAUCCAAGCAACUGUUUACCAAAAACACAGGUCUCCGCUAAGUCGUAAGACGAUGUAUGGGGGCUGACGCCUGCCCAGUGCCAGAAGGUUAAAGAAGUUGGUUAGCAUUAGCGAAGCUGAUAACUGAAGCCCUGGUGAACGGCGGCCGUAACAAUAACGGUCCUAAGGUAGCGAAAUUCCUUGUCGGGUAAGUUCCGACCCGCACGAAAGGCGUAAUGAUUUGGAUACUGUCUCGGAGAGGGGCUCGGUGAAAUAGACUUGUCUAUGAAGAUGCGGACUACCUGCACCAGGACAGAAAGACCCUAUGAAGCUUUACUGUAACUUGAGAUUGAAAUUGGACUUUAUUUGCGCAGUAUAGGUGGGAGACGUUGAAAAUAUUCUUGCGGGAAUAUUGGAGUCAUCAGUGAGAUACCACUCUUAUAAUGUUAGAUUUCUAACUUUGUAUCAUUAUCUGGUCAAAGAACAGUCUCAGGCGGGCAGUUUGACUGGGGCGGUCGCCUCCCAAACGGUAACGGAGGCGCACAAAGGUUUCCUCUGAACGUGUAGAAAUCGUAUCUAGAGUGUAAAGGCAUAAGGAAGCUUGACUGUGAGACCUACAAGUCGAGCAGGGACGAAAGUCGGUCUUAGUGAUUUGACGGUGCUGAGUGGAAAGGCCGUCACUCAACGGAUAAAAGUUACUCUAGGAUAACAGGCUGAUCUCCCCCAAGAGUUCACAUCGACGGGGAGGUUUGGCACCUCGAUGUCGGCUCAUCGCAUCCUGGGGCGGUAGUACGUCCCAAGGGUUGGGCUGUUCGCCCAUGAAAGCGGUACGCGAGCUGGGUUCAGAACGUCGUGAGACAGUUCGGUCCAUAUCCGGUGUAGGCGUUAGAAUAUUGAGAGGAGCCUUCUUUAGUACGAGAGGACCGAGAAGGACAUACCUCUGGUGUACCAGUUAUCGUGCCAACGGUAAACGCUGGGUAGCUAUGUAUGGAGAGGAUAACCGCUGAAAGCAUCUAAGUGGGAAGCCCACCUCAAGAUAAG